rnacentral:rRNA from 1 species
AGUCGAGCGAACAGACGAGGAGCUUGCUCCUCUGACGUUAGCGGCGGACGGGUGAGUAACACGUGGAUAACCUACCUAUAAGACUGGGAUAACUUCGGGAAACCGGAGCUAAUACCGGAUAAUAUAUUGAACCGCAUGGUUCAAUAGUGAAAGACGGUUUUGCUGUCACUUAUAGAUGGAUCCGCGUCGCAUUAGCUAGUUGGUAAGGUAACGGCUUACCAAGGCAACGAUGCGUAGCCGACCUGAGAGGGUGAUCGGCCACACUGGAACUGAGACACGGUCCAGACUCCUAUGGGAGGCAGCAGUAGGGAAUCUUCCGCAAUGGGCGAAAGCCUGACGGAGCAACGCCGCGUGAGUGAUGAAGGUCUUCGGAUCGUAAAACUCUGUUAUUAGGGAAGAACAAAUGUGUAAGUAACUAUGCACGUCUUGACGGUACCUAAUCAGAAAGCCACGGCUAACUACGUGCCAGCAGCCGCGGUAAUACGUAGGUGGCAAGCGUUAUCCGGAAUUAUUGGGCGUAAAGCGCGCGUAGGCGGUUUUUUAAGUCUGAUGUGAAAGCCCACGGCUCAACCGUGGAGGGUCAUUGGAAACUGGAAAACUUGAGUGCAGAAGAGGAAAGUGGAAUUCCAUGUGUAGCGGUGAAAUGCGCAGAGAUAUGGAGGAACACCAGUGGCGAAGGCGACUUUCUGGUCUGUAACUGACGCUGAUGUGCGAAAGCGUGGGGAUCAAACAGGAUUA